AGUGUGAUUGCUGGAUUGCAUGGUAAGAGUUUGUUUAGUUUUGUGAGAAACUGCCAAACUGUGCAUCAAAGUGGCUGUACCAUUUUGUAUUUCCACCAGCAAU
rnacentral:pre_miRNA from 1 species